rnacentral:tRNA from 1 species
GCGCCGCUAGCUCAGUUGGUUAGAGCAGCUGACUCUUAAUCAGCGGGUCCGG